UCAGAUAUGAUGUAAUGGCUAACAUUACCGCCUUUCAUGCACGGCUGAAUGCUAUCUCUACGCGGUAGCUCGCGGUUCGAUUCCCCGUAUCCGAA